rnacentral:rRNA from 1 species
CCUACGGGGGGCUGCAGUGAGGAAUCUUCCACAAUGGGGGCAACCCUGAUGGAGCAACGCCGCGUGCAGGAUGAAGGCCUUCGGGUCGUAAACUGCUUUUAUUUGUGAAGAAUAUGACGGUAACAAAUGAAUAAGGGUCGGCUAACUACGUGCCAGCAGCCGCGGUCAUACGUAGGACCCAAGCGUUAUCCGGAGUGACUGGGCGUAAAGAGUUGCGUAGGCGGUUAGUUAAGCGAAUAGUGAAACCUGGUGGCUCAACCAUACAGACUAUUAUUCGAACUGGCUAACUCGAGAGUGGUAGAGGUAACUGGAAUUUCUAGUGUAGGAGUGAAAUCCGUAGAUAUUAGAAGGAACACCAAUGGCGUAGGCAGGUUACUGGACCAUUUCUGACGCUGAGGCACGAAAGCGUGGGGAGCGAACCGGCUUAGAUACCCUAGUAGUC